rnacentral:rRNA from 1 species
GGAUGAACGCUGGCGGCGUGCCUAAUACAUGCAAGUCGUACGAGUGUAGCAAUACACUAGUGGCGAACGGGUGAGUAACACGUAGGUAACCUGCCUUGAAGUUUGGGAUACCCGAGGGAAACUUCGGCUAAUACCGGAUACGAUCGUUGGAGGCAUCUCCGGCGAUUAAAAGACGCAGCAAUGCGUCUCUUCAAGAUGGGCCUGCGUCGCAUUAGCUAGUUGGUGAGGUAACGGCUCACCAAGGCUUCGAUGCGUAGCCGACCUGAGAGGGUGAUCGGCCACAAUGGAACUGAGACACGGUCCAUACUCCUACGGGAGGCAGCAGUAGGGAGUUUUCGGCAAUGGGGGCAACCCUGACCGAGCAACGCCGCGUGAGUGAUGAAGGUCUUCGGAUUGUAAAACUCUGUUGUGGAGGACGAAUGGUAGGGAUAGGCAAUGAUCUCUAUUUGACAGUACUUCAUUAGAAAGCCAUGGCUAACUAUGUGCCAGCAGCCGCGGUAAUACAUAGGUGGCAAGCGUUAUCCGGAAUUAUUGGGCGUAAAGAGUGAGUAGGUGGCCAUUUAAGUCACAAGUCAAAUGCAGUAGCUCGACUACUGUUCGCUUGUGAUACUGAAAGGCUAGAGUGCGAGAGGGGUAAGUGGAAUUCCAUGUGUAGCGGUGAAAUGCGUAGAUAUAUGGAGGAACACCAGUGGCGAAGGCGGCUUACUGGCUCGUAACUGACACUCAGUCACGAAAGCGUGGGGAGCAAAUAGGAUUAGAUACCCUAGUAGUCCACGCUGUCAACUUUGGAUGCUAGAUAUUGGGGAAACUCAGUGCCGAAGCUAACGCGAUAAGCAUCCCGCCUGGGUAGUACGUUCGCA